UAUUUAUCUUUGUAACAUUGAAUUGAUAAAGCUAUUUUCUUCAUAGUUGACAGGCUAAACUAUGAUUGUUUCAAGACUGGACCAAGGCACCAUCUUGUGCUCCCCAACUUGCUAGCUAACUUGAGCCCAGUGGUGUGGGGGCCAUCUUUCCCACUUUGAUAUUCAAUUAAUCGCCUUUCGUCGUGUUUGGUUUGUUAUAUUAUGGGAUGAAGCCCGAUUUGUGUAUCUUCCCACUCUAUCAUGUUUCGCAGAUAGAGGAACUAUCCGAAUUAAGCUUGUCUCUAUUAAAUUU